GGGGAUGUUGCUCAGUGGCAGAGCACUGGCCUAAAAUGCCUGAGGCUCUGGGUUCAAUCCACAGUGCUACCA
rnacentral:tRNA from 1 species